UUAAUUUUCAACAAAAGUAUAUUUAUAAAAACAAUAGGGUGGUUUUAAUUACAUUAUGCAGAUAGGUAGUUAUUAUAUUUAAUUAUUGUGCUAAAAAUUGUAUAGGAAGUUACAUAUAUAUAUAUGAAAGGUGUAUAUUGUGCCUAAGAUUGAGCAAAUAGAUGUUCCAUCUAAAUUCAUAUUUAACUAUUGUGUUAUCUACAAAAAUAUUCAUUUUGUAAUUGACACAUGGAGAAAAUAUUUUUUAAAAUUAUAAAAACAAUAAUUAGAGAAAGGAAAUUUAUUUCUAAUAAUGGAAUAUCCAAUCAGAUAUUAAAUAAUUCAUUCCAAUACGUAUUUAACAAAAUAUUACAUUGCAAACUCAAUUUUUUUUAAUGUCUAGUAUAUUUUUAUUGUAUCUACACGAGUUAUAUCCACAAUUUAUGGUAUAUAAUAAUAAAAAAAAUAUAAAUAUUUAUGUUAAUGAAUAUAAAUAGAUAUAGUUUUUUAAAAAAUUGAUAUGAUCUCAUUUAUUAUUUGGACUAUUGAUGGAACAAAAAAUUGAAACUUUCAAACGUUUAGAAACCUCUUUACGCGGUUGCCAAUUUGUUAAAAGUACUUAAAUAAAUAAUUUUUCAUUCGAAACAAUACAAUUUAUCCAUCAGGUAUCAAAGUAGUAAAUACGAAUCAUCACCAGGUAUAUCUAGGAACAACCCAUUGUGGUUAAGGUUGAGUUUUUCUGUGUAGGAAUACGAUUAAUAGAUAAACGGGACUUCAAAGUACUUGAUACUUAUCAAUAUAUUUUAAAAUGCGUCCAAACCGUUAAUAAAUAAUAUCAGUAAAUCGAUAAGUCGUCAAAUUAAUAUAGCAAUCGAAAUAUUAAACGAAAAUAAUAUUUCUAGAUACAUCUUAGCAGCAUGAAGACUGUCGCGCGUAUGAGCGAGGUUGCUGCUUGUUUGGCGACAUUCACAUGUGCGCACGCCUUACUCACAUUCACCUCUGCCCCAUCCACAAGCUAGUGUUCGGCAUCGGUGUCGGUUUUUCUUGUCAGAUCAAAGAAUGUUCGGUAAACAAUUUGCGAUAUAUCCACACGUUUAGCAGCGAUCAGUAAUUUUUAUUUCAUGAAUUUGUAAUAAAAAUAAAUCAACCCAAAGAUACCACAAGCUCGUCAUCCGCCAUAUUUGCCGAUCCGGAACGUUCGCCAAGUACGUGGAUUCUAAAUACACUGUUUACACCACCACUACACCAACACUCAUAAUUACACGCGUUUAGAUAACCAUAACAGUGUAAUUGUGAGUGUCGGUGUAGUGGUGGUGUGAACAGUGUAUUCAAUAUGAAUAUCGCCAACGGUUCCAAAAAUUCAAUGGAUGGGCGAUUGUGGUUGGUGUUUAGAACUUUGUUUAUCACAAGCAAUGUUCGUGAUCAAUAACCAACGUGUGGAUCAUAUGUGAUUACAAAGUAAUUUAUACAGUUGGUGUAUCUAGAAAACUAGAUUGAAAUUGCUAAAUAUUUCAGUUUUUCCGUAAUUAAUACACUAAAAACUAAUUGUAAUCAAAAUUUGAAGCUUCUAUGUUUACUAGAAGUUUUAAUGAUCGAUCGGUCAGUGAGGAACUUUGACUAGUUAUAAUUCUUAAGCUACUGGUUCAAAUUGAAUGAAAUUUGAAAUAUACCGUAUUGAUACAAUGCUUACUUAGUUACUACAAAUUCAGGCUUCUAGUUUAAUCAGCAACAAAGUUAUAAGGGGCCAAAAAGAUUCGAGAAAAGCGUGGUACGGCCCUGUCGCUUUUUUUUCUCGACUUGGCGGGGAUAUUACCUUGCUCCCAGAAAGAGGUAACCUGUUGUAUUUUGGAAAACAUUAAUUGUACAAAUUGGGAGACAAUAUCUUUAUAACAAAGAUACUGUCUAGAGAGUUUUGUUUGUUGAUGUUGAAAUUGAUCAGAUUCUCUUACACAACUUGUACAAUUUUUUCUUGUAUGAUUAGUUUGUAAGUUGUAAGAUACAACGAUUUACGUCUCUUAAUCAAACAACAUUCAAAAAAAUAGAAUUAUCUACAUAUAUAUAUAUUCAAAAUAUUGCAGAUAUAAUACAUUGUCGUCCAACUAUUCAAAAAAAUUAAUGUAUUGACAAAACGAUAAAAAUACAUACAUACUUUGGGCACAUUCAACCUUGAAAUUAUCAACUACGUCCUUUCUCAAGUUUAAUAACAAAUUUUUCUUGUUUCUUUUUAACAAAUUAUACAGUUUGUUUAUUAGAAUAUCCACAAAUAACAACAGCUUAAAAAAAUUGUCCACCUAAUGUAAUUACGAGGCAAAUCGAACAUUGUCCGCGAUUUAGUAAGUUGAAAUCGUUUCUCCGAAAGUCUGAGGGGAGAAUUUGACGCACGAACGAAAAGUACCGAUUACGACCAAUCGUAUUUAUUCACGUAAAAGUAUAGAGUUAAUAUUAUGCAACAGAUCAUACGUACUAAGCUGACGACCAAAUGAAUUUGACAGACGAUCAAAAAGAACCGAUCACGACCAAUCAUAUUUAUUCACAUAAAUGCAUAGAAUUAAUAUUAUGCAGCUCAUUAUUCGAUACUAAGCCGGCGAUCAAAUUAAUUUGACGCGCUACCGAGAAGUACCGAUCACGACCAAUCGUAUUUAUUCACGUAAAAGUAUAGAGUUAAUAUUAUGCAACACAUCAUACGUACUAAGCUGAUGACCAAAUGAAUAUGACAGACGAACGAAAAGAACCGAUCACAACCAAUCAUAUUUAUUCUACGUAAAAGCAUGGAGUUAAUAACUCUAUGGCAUCGAAUUGAUAAAUCUUUAUCGAGUUCGAUGCUCUAUGGUGAAAGUCAUUUCAUGCAUACUAAACGACAAAUGUCAAUUUAUGACACAUUGGAAUAACAUAUAUAGCAGAAUGAGUUUGAUUUAUUACGUUUGUUCCAACCUGCUAGUCUGGACCGUUCUUGGAAGCGUUUCUAGAUAUUUUCUGCGCAAUUUCCGGCUAUGCACGGUUCUUGUAUCAACCAAGUAUGGAAACUGUUCACAACGGACCUAAGUCGGUUGGAACGCAAAACAGAAUCGUUCGUAUAAGGGUUGGAACACGUAAUCUCUAUUAUGCAGAAUCUUUACCGUACCAAGGACGGUGUUUUGACGGGUUAGAACAAAACUAUUAAUCCCAACGUUUGCGCCCGCGCUGACGAUCUCAUUGACUUUACAUUCAACUUUACGUUGGCUACGAGUUAAAUAAUGCUGGAAGCAAACUAGGGCUUCAACGCGGGUGCAAAAGUUUAUAAAUUGACUUUUAUACUUGACAAACUUUUAACAUUAUAAACAUAGAUAUUAAAUAUUAUUUAAAAUUGGUUUUUUUCUGUGUUUUGUAUAAAAUGAAACGGAAAAAUUUUAACGGGAAUGUUUUUGAUGAUAUUUGUGCCAGAUAUUUUUGAAAACACACUAUACAACAUGCAAACACUACAUACAACAACUUCAAACGAUAGAAAAUAAAACAUGCGGUAAAGCCAAAACAUUUAAUUAAAUGAUAAUAUUAAAAUUAAUAUUUUCAAUUCAUUUUGUAAAAAAAUUAUUUCAAAGGUAAAUAUUUCAAGUUUAAUGAGAUAUUUAAAUGCUGUUACCUCCAUUGUUUAGAAUCUAACCUAAAAGUCGUGGUACUAAUUUCAGAUUUUAUAAACCAGUUUUCAACAAAAAAAGUUGGUAACAAUAUGUAAUGUUUUAAUAAAUAAAUAUUCGUACCGUAUCAAACCUGAAUGAAUAUUUGAUACGAUAAACUAUAUAUUGAAUAUGAAAUGAAUAUCUUAGUGAUUAGGAGAAACCUGCUUGGUUAGGUUAUGAUAAAUAUUUGUUACCUUGGAAUUGAUAUAACCAGUUAUAGACACAAAGAAUCGAGAACGUAGUAUGGGGAAACAAACUUACAAACAUCAUACGUAGAUAACAACAAUGAUUAGGUAAGCGUAAGAAAAAUGGAACGACAGACGAUAGAUUCGUAAAAAUCGUGAAGAAUAAAUCUCUAAUUGGAACAAGAAAAACAAUAAUUUGAAUACACCAAUUUGACUAUUCCAUAAUAUUUAUGUCUUUUGCGAUUAUUUAAAUAAUUCUUAAUGUCGUUAAAGUUUACAGGAUGAAAGUUUUUGAGGUUGUGUGCUGUCAAGGGGGAAAUAAAUAUGUAAUAAAAAGGAAUUGAUGAAAUACACCCCCUUAUAUUUAUUUUUAUUAAUAAACUAGAUAGUGACAGUGACUAGAAAUUAGUUUAUUGAACUGUUAAUAAUGUUUGCAGACAAUAUGAAAACUUGUAAUUAUAACACGUAAUUGAGCUGAAAAAAAUUCUCACUCACUAUGAACAAUCUUUAAUUUAUAAAUAAUAACGUUUUAGUAUCUGAAAUCGAAUAAUCGAUAUGUUGUACUAAAUCGACGUUCGAUUUUUUCUGUUUUGGUAAAAAUAUGAUUACUCAAAAACUUGGCUGGUGUUUCCGAACAACUCUCUACAUGUAAUAGACUUUUAAUGGAAAGGGCUCAAAUGAAGAAUUUUAACAUUAUCGCAUGCAGAUGUGCACUUAAAUUUUGAUCUUAUCAUCGCAAAUGAUAAGUGGAACCGCUUGGGUUCCAGUAGACUUGUUAUUAUCGAAUUCUAUCGAAUAACUAAGAGAAAAAGAAUCGAAACUAGAAAUAUAAAUCCCUACAAUUUGAUUGAUGAUACAAAACAACCAGAUUUUGGUUUUUAUUUCAUUUUUUUCUCAAGGUAGUAAAAAAAUAUUAAUUCUUCGAUUUUUUAUCAAAUAGAGAAUUUUUUUAAUUUGUAAACAUUUUUUUUUAAAUUGCUCAUUUUUGUAUGUAUUACUUUCUGGAAAAAAGACAUUAUUUGAAAACAAUUUUUAAGUACAGUUUUUGAAGACAAAUCGGGAAAUUAAUGGUUUUGGGAUUUUUUUUAAACAAAAAAAGUUUUGAAAUCUUAGUUAGGUUAGGUUAGGAACUUUGAUUCCAUUAUUUCAAAUGUGCCGAAAAAAUGAACAGAAUGGGAAAAAAAUACUAAAAAUAUUAAUUUUUCGUUUUUUAAGACCAAUUUGUGGUAGGCUCUAAUUAUCACUAUAUUUUAGUUAUUAAAGUCAUUAAAAAGACCUAUAGCAGAAAGAUCAAUAUUUUGGUCCACCCAGUAUAUUUCAAAUUGAGAUUUAGCAACACAUAUAUUAUUAAAUUAGUUUUUUAUUCAUUAAAUUUGAAUUGUGCAAAAAAAAUCCAUUCUUUUAUCAAGUAUCAAUAUAAAUUCAAUACAUUUAAAAUGUAAAUGCGCCGAAGAAAAUAUAUUUAUAAAUACUGAAA